UUCCGGUUGAUCCCGCCGGACCCCACUGCUAUCGAGGUGGGACUAAGCCAUGCUAGUCGAACGAACAGAACUAUGUCUGUAAGUGGCACACUGCUCAGUAACACGUAGCUAACCUACCCUUAGGACGUCGAUAACCCCGAGAAAUUGGGGCUAAUAGGCGAUAGGUGUGAUGUCCUGGAAUGGUAUCACGCCCAAAGGUAUCCCAUACAUGUUUGGUAUACGCCUAAGGAUGGGGCUGCGGCCGAUCAGGCAGUUGGUGAGGUAAUGGCUCACCAAACCUUUGACCGGUACGGGCCAUGAGAGUGGUAGCCCGGAGAUGGACACUGAGACAAGGGUCCAGGCCCUACGGGGCGCAGCAGGCGCGAAACCUCCUCAAUGCACUAACGUGCGAAGGGGUUACCUCGAGUGCCACCUGAAGAAGGUGGCUUUUCCUUGGUCUAAAAAGCCUCGGGAAUAAGAGGGGGGCAAGACUGGUGUCAGCCGCCGCGGUAACACCAGCCCCUCGAGUGGUGGGGAUGAUUAUUUGGCCUAAAGCGUCCGUAGCCGGCCGGGUAAGUCUCCCGUUAAAUCCAACGUCUCAAGCGUUGGACUGCGGGAGAUACUGCCUGGCUAGAGAGUGGGAGAGGUCAGCGGUAUUCUGGGGGUAGGGGCGAAAUCCUUUGAUCCCCGGAGGACCACCAGUGGCGAAGGCUGCUGACUAGAACACGUCUGACGGUCAGGGACGAAAGCUGGGGUAGCGAACCGGAUUAGAUACCCGGGUAGUCCCAGCCGUAAACGAUGCAGGCUAGGUGUUGGGUUGGCCACGUGCCAGCUCAGUGCCACAGGGAAGCCAUUAAGCCUGCCGCCUGGGGAGUACGGCCGCAAGGCUGAAACUUAAAGGAAUUGGCGGGGGAGCACCACCAGGCGUGAAGCCUG
rnacentral:rRNA from 1 species